AAUCAUUUGUCUUUUAAAUGAAGACUUGUAUGAACGGCAAAACCUCCUCCAACUGUCUCCCCUCCCAUCCUUCCAAAUUUCCUCCUGUGUGAAGAAGCACAGAUACACCAGAAAGACGAGAAGACCCUGUCGAGCUUUAACCACUAAGUGGGCCUUACCCUUUUAGGCACCACCCAAAGGUUUUGGUUGGGGCAACCACGGAGAAAAAACAUCCUCCAGAACGAAUAGAAGAAAGCUUUUCACUAUUAUUACGACUAAGAACCAGGAACUGGUAUUCGGAAAGAGUUACCGCAGGGAUAACAGCGUCAUCUCCUCUAAGAGUCCUUAUUGACGAGGAGGUUUGCGACCUCGAUGUUGGAUUGGGGCCCCCUUAGGGUGCAGAAGCUCUAAACGGUUAGACUGUUCGUCUAUUAAAGCCCUACAUGAUCUGAGUUCAAACCGGAG
rnacentral:rRNA from 1 species